rnacentral:misc_RNA from 1 species
GGAAGGAUCAUUAAAAAGAUUAGAGGUUUUACAACCUUUUAUUCUUGUGAACUGGGUUCUUUUGAACCGUUAUUUUGAUGUUUGUAAUUUUGUUUUAGUGUUAAAUCACAUUGACAACUUUCAGCAAUGGAUCUCUUGGCUCUUGCAUCGAUGAAGAACGCAGCGAAACGCGAUAUGUAAUGUGAAUUGCAGAUUUGUGACUCAUCGAAAUUUUGAACGCACAUUGCACUUGCUGGUAUUCCGGCAAGUAUGCUUGUUUGAGUGUCUGUAUGUUUUACUCACCUUUAUGGUGGAUUUGGUCUUGGGAAUUUCCCUUGGCUUGAAUACAGUCAGUGAGUUUUUCCUCGAGGAAAGCUUGCAAAUUGAUCUAGUCAACUGAUUUGAUUAUUUUGCAUGUUGGAUUCUUGGAGAGUGUUACUGUCCAACUCUUUUUACACCCUUAAAAGUGUAUCUGUACAAAUUGGACCUCAAAUCAAGCAAGGCUACCUGCUGAACUUAAGCAUAUUAAUAAGCAGAGGAAAAGAAACUAACAAGGAUUCCCGAGUAAUGGCGAAUGAAACGGGAACAGCCCAAAUUUGAAAUCUCUGGCCCUUGGUCAGCGAAUUGUAAUUUGUAGAAAAAGUUGUCCGAGGCUAAAACUUGCUCAAAGUCCAUUGGAACAUGGCGGGCUUCGGCUCAUAAUGUCACAGAGGGUGAAAACCCCGUUCUUGAGCUUGCUUCUAGUCUCAUUGUGUCACUUUUUCAAAGAGUCGGAUUGUUUGGGAAUGCAAUCCAAAAUGGGUGGUAAACUCCAUCCAAGGCUAAAUAUUAGCAAGAGACCGAUAGCGAACAAGUACCGUGAGGGAAAGAUGAAAAGAACUCUGAAGAGAGAGUUAAAUAGUACGUGAAAUUGCUGAAAGGGAAACGUUUGAAACGAUUGUUGCCUUGUGUUUUUCGGAAUGCCUGGCAAGUCAACAGCAGUUUUUUGUGGCACAGAAAGAAUGAGAAAGGUAGCUUGGGGUUUCGGCCUCAGUGUUAUAGUCUUUUUCCAAAGUGUUGCGAAAGACUGAGGAACUGCUUCAUGGGAUGAAUGUGCGAGUUUGUUGUUGGGGUCAUUGGUAGACCUCGGUCCUUGUGGCCGAGACUGCAAGUGGCCACGGCGAGUAUACUAGUAGGUUCUAAAUGUUACAGGUUGUUGACAAAAUGGUUUUAAACGACCCGUCUUGAAACACGGACCAAGGAGUGCAACAAGUAUGCGAGUCGUAGGGUGAAAAACCUGAAGGCGCAAUGAAAGUGAUAAUGUACCAAGCUGUAAAAGGCUUCAGUACAGCCCAGUCUUGCAGCUUAACGCUAAAGGAUCUGAGGUAGAGCAUAUUUGCUGCGACCCGAAAGAUGGUGAACUAUGCCUGCAUAGGGCGAAGCCAGAGGAAACUCUGGUGGAGGCUCGUAGCGAUUCUGACGUGCAAAUCGAUCGUCAAAUGUGGUAUAGGGGCGAAAGACUAAUCGAACCAUCUAGUAGCUGGUUUCCAC